UGAUCACACGGAGGACACAAAAAGAGCGUAACAGCAGCUUGCAGUUCAUUCACAAGACCUGAAGGCGACUAACUAGCAGUGGAGAACAAAGCUAAAAGAAAAGAAUGAAAGUUGAAAUAGGUUCUUUCCUGGUGUUGUUGGUGGCGGUGCUCGCUACAGCGAGAACCCGGGACAGGUCGUUCAGAUUUUACGACCAAGACAAGAUAUUCUGUGAUCAACCCAACUGUAUUUGUUAUUACAAGAAUGACCCUUGUCCAACUGGAAUGAGCGAAUGCAGUAACACAUAUUAUUGCACCCUCGACACGAACAAACCUUGUUGCUAUAAAAAACCCAGAGAAAAAGAAUUCUGUGAUUAUCCUGAAUGCACUUGCUACUACAUAGAUGAUCCAUGCCCGUCAGGAACACACGACUGCAGUACUUCAAAAUACUGCACUUUGGAUACAAACAAGGCUUGUUGUAAAGACUAAUUGAGAUGUCGCAAUUGAGAAAAAAGAUCCUCCACAAGCAUUUUAAUUCUUUGAUUUAUAAGUAAUAUUGUGAUACGAAUUGUUAGCCUAGAGAUAAAGAUAACAUUCUGAAUAAAGGGGACUUAAAUAAAUAAAAUUAGUUUUAAAUGGCUCAUUAUAGUGUUU